rnacentral:lncRNA from 1 species
CAGAGAAACUUUAGUGGGUAGCUGAAAUGAUAUGUCACCAAAAGCCAAAAACAGAACUCCUAAUCAAAAUUGGUGGAAAGAGAAUAGACUGGAUACCACCAGAGAGAUAGGCGUCUACGUGGAGACGCAACUAGCAGAUAGAUAGAUGGCUACAUUAGAUAGAUAACUACAUUAAGAGUGCAAACAGAAGGAACUCAAGAUACCAGGCCUUUAUAAAGGCACUACACUUGCAAAUUUAAAAACCAAUUAGAACAACAAAAGGGCUCAGUCAAACUCAAGGCAGCAACAACAACAACUACCCAGUAUAGUCCCACAAAGUGGGGUCUGGGAAAGGCAACAUCUUUAAAUUUUAAAAAAUAAUUUCCUAAAGAAAGUAUUCUUGAAUGAUAACUUAAGUAGUGGGGUCGAUAUCCUAAUAAUGGUAAUCCUGAAGAAAUGCUAAGACUAUGUCA